rnacentral:rRNA from 1 species
UACGGGGGGGGCAAGCGUUGUUCGGAAUUACUGGGCGUAAAGGGCCAGUAGGCGGCCAACUAAGUCCGACGUGAAAUCCCCAGGCUCAACUUGGGAACUGCGUCGGAUACUGGAUGGCUUGAAUUCGGGAGAGGGAUGCAGAAUUCCAGGUGUAGCGGUGAAAUGCGUAGAUAUCUGGAGGAAUACCGGUGGCGAAGGCAGCCCCCUGGGAUGACACUGACGCUCAUGCACGAAAGCGUGGGGAGCAAACAGG